rnacentral:tRNA from 1 species
GCCGACUUAGCUCAGUUGGUAGAGCAUCUGAUUUGUAAUCAGAGGGU